GUAUUAACGAGCACUUCACAUUGCUGUUGAGGACGGGCUGUGUGACUUUGUGUCCAGUCUCGCUUGUCUAGUUACCAGCAGAGGACCGUUGUCGUCCAGUCGCGAGGUCUGUGUGAGUGUGAGAUGUGCAACAGUCCGUAGACUAGCAGUAAGAGACGCCGAAAGGACACAACAUUAGUCGACAUCAGUGACCAGCAGCCUGGUCGAUGUGACCAGCCAACGACGCACCAGCGGCAGUUACGACGAUCAGAUCUCUGUAUUCAAGAGGGAACUGCCAAACUCUUCCAAAGGGCCGAGCAUUCGUGGGUGUGAGAGCAGCGGGGAGCCACAGCACAGACGACGAGCAGCCAGGAGGCUGGUCAGAGAACGGGCCGCGGAGAAGAGCGACUCCAGUAACUACAACAAGGCAGGCAGGUGUAGACGUGAACAUAAGGCCAAGCAGUAGAUCACAGUGAGUGCGUAGAUGGACGGACAUCUAAGAUACGUCUUGAACCUUUGCACCAUAAAUGGUCCAGGCUGCCAAGACUGGUGCCUGCCCAAGAUCCUACUUCACUGCCAGUCUCUGUCCUUUGACCGAUUGUCUUCGCUGUCUUUAGGGUUUGGAUGGUGGGGUGCGCAGCAUGGUUUAUCCCCUAGGAGGUGGUGAUAGUGCUUCAUGCAUCCCAAUUCUGCUUGUGUCUCAGAAAGUUGAUGUGCUAAUCAAAUCCCAACAAGAUACCGACUUCACGUUUGAACUUUCACGGGAACAAGAAGAUUCUUUGUGACGAAGCUGGACAAGAUGAUUUAGAGGCCAGUAUGUGCGACGAGUUUUCUACUUGGUCGGAUAUGUAUGUAGCUGGAGAUGACGUGACAAAAUUAGCCUCAAUGUGUAAACUGAAAGCUGGUCGCUUGGCAAGAGAAGUGUCUGACUCGUGCCUUCAGUUCUGGGGUGGCAUGGGCUGCACAAAUGAGGUUUUAAUAAGUCGGUGCUUCCGUGACAUGCGACUGGUUUCAAUUUGGGGUGGAGCAGAGGAAGUAAUGCUGGCUAUCAUCUGCAAGUUCAUGGGCACACUCCCUCAGUUACCUAAGAAGAAAUAAUAUACUAUGUUUAUUAACUCCUUGAAAUGGGUGAGCGACCUGAAAAAACUUAAUCAUUUGGAUCAUCUUCCAUGUCAGAUUCUAAAUUUAUUUAUAUAUAUAUAUCUUUCAUAUAUCUUAGGAACCUUAAAGACAUCUUUAUUUUAUGAAAAUAAUAAAAAUAUAGCAUAGACUAGUUUGGCUAA